AACCCCAACGACGGGGCGAAAGCAGUAGCAAAAACCCCAAUAACGAGGCCAAAGCAGUAGCAGAAAUCCCAAGAACUAGGCCAAAGCAGUUGCAGAAACCCCAAGAACGGGGCCAAAGCAGUAGCAGCUACGAUUAAAUCCUUGCUCAGCUCUAAUUUGGCUUCGGUGGAGGUCGAUAAGGUGCAAAAGGGUGAUGGCACAAGAACAAAACUAGCGAGAAGAAAAGCUUCGGCACGUAGGAAAAAGUUUCCAACACAAGAGUAGAGAGACAAAAGCAGAAAGAGUUGUGUGAUUAAUGGCGGCGAUGGCUAGUCAAGGCAGUUCUUCUAAGAGAAGCAUGUCUAUGACGAACGCAUCUUUGUAGGAGAAGAAGAAAUCCUCUAAGAAUUUUAUGUCUCAGCAAAUGGCUUUAUGUAUUUUAGACGAGUGCAGUAGCAGAACGCAAGUACGAGGGCAGUAGUAGAACUGGACAAGUAUGAGUGCAGUAGAAGGAUUUGAUGAGUGCAGUAGCAUAAUUAGGCGAUGACUAGUGCAGUAGCAGAACACGAGUACAAGUGCAGUAGCAGAACUAGACGAAUAUGAGUGCAGCGAGUGCAGUAGCGGGAUUCGACGAGUGCAGUAGCGGGAUUCGACGAGUGCAGUAGCAGGAUUAGGCAAUGACGAGUGCAGUAGCAAGAUUAAGUGAUUACGAGUGCAGUAGCAGAACUGGAUGAGUAUGAGUGCAGUAGCAAGAUUAGGCAAUGACGAGUGCAGUAGCAGGAUUAAGCGAUUACGAGUGCAGUAGCAGAACUGGACGAGUAUGAGUGCAGUAGCAGGAUUGAACGAGUGCAGUAGCAGGAUUAGACGAUGAGAUGAGAGUAGUC
rnacentral:lncRNA from 1 species